GGGGUGUUAGCUCCAAUCGGAAGAGCGUCUGCUCCGCACGCAGAAGGUUGUGGGUUCGAGUCCCAUACACUCCA
rnacentral:tRNA from 1 species